rnacentral:rRNA from 1 species
AGUGAACGCUGGCGGUAGGCCUAACACAUGCAAGUCGAACGGCAGCACCGUAAGAGCUUGCUCUUACGGGUGGCGAGUGGCGGACGGGUGAGGAAUACAUCGGAAUCUACUUUUUCGUGGGGGAUAACGUAGGGAAACUUACGCUAAUACCGCAUACACCCUACGGCUGAAAGCAGGGGCUCUUCGGCCCUUGCGCGAUUGAAUGAGCCGCUGUCGGAUUAGCUAGUUGGCGUGGUAAAGGCCCACCAAGGCGACGAUCCGUAGCUGGUCUGAGAGGAUGAUCAGCCACACUGGAACUGAGACACGGUCCAGACUCCUACGGGAGGCAGCAGUGGGGAAUAUUGGACAAUGGGAGCAAGCCUGAUCCAGCCAUACCGCGUGGGUGAAGAAGGCCUUCGGGUUGUAAAGCCCUUUUGUUGGGAAAGAAAAGCAGCAGGUUAAUACCCCGCUGUUCUGACGGUACCCAAAGAAUAAGCACCGGCUAACUUCGUG